rnacentral:rRNA from 1 species
GAUGAACGCUAGCGACAGGCCUAACACAUGCAAGUCGAGGGGCAGCACAAGGAGCAAUCUGAGGUGGCGACCGGCGCACGGGUGAGUAACACGUAUGCAACCUGCCUGUAAGAGGGGAAUAACCCGGAGAAAUUCGGACUAAUACCGCAUAAUACCACGAGACUGCAUGGUUUUGUGGUAAAACAUUUAUGGCUUACAGAUGGGCAUGCGUAUGAUUAGCUAGUAGGUGAGGUAACGGCUCACCUAGGCAACGAUCAUUAGGGGUUCUGAGAGGAAGGUCCCCCACACUGGUACUGAGACACGGACCAGACUCCUACGGGAGGCAGCAGUGAGGAAUAUUGGUCAAUGGGCGAGAGCCUGAACCAGCCAAGUCGCGUGAAGGAAGAAGGUUCUAUGGAUUGUAAACUUCUUUUGUAAGGGAAUAAAAAGUGGUACGUGUACCAUAUUGUAUGUACUUUACGAAUAAGGAUCGGCUAACUCCGUGCCAGCAGCCGCCGUAACAC